rnacentral:rRNA from 1 species
UACGAAGGGGGCUAGCGUUGCUCGGAAUUACUGGGCGUAAAGGGCGCGUAGGCGGACAACUUAGUCAGAGGUGAAAGCCCAGGGCUCAACCUUGGAAUUGCCUUUGAUACUGGUUGUCUUGAGUUCGGGAGAGGUGAGUGGAAUGCCGAGUGUAGAGGUGAAAUUCGUAGAUAUUCGGAAGAACACCAGUGGCGAAGGCGACUUACUGGACACAUAUUGACGCUGAGGUGCGAAAGCGUGGGGUGCAAACAGG